rnacentral:rRNA from 1 species
UGAGUAAUGUCUGGGAAACUGCCUGAUGGAGGGGGAGUAACUACUGGAAACGGUAGCUAAUACCGCAUAACGUCGCAAGACCAAAGAGGGGGACCUUCGGGCCUCUUGCCAUCAGAUGUGCCCAGAUGGGAUUAGCUAGUAGGUGGGGUAACGGCUCACCUAGGCGACGAUCCCUAGCUGGUCUGAGAGGAUGACCAGCCACACUGGAGCUGAGACACGGUCCAGACUCCUACGGGAGGCAGCAUG